rnacentral:tRNA from 9 species
GGGUCUGUGGCAGAGCGGUUGAAUGCACCGGUCUUGAAAACCGGCGUGGGGAAACCCAUCGUGAGUUCGAAUCUCACCGGACCCGCCA